AAAUUAUCGCUGAAGGCUGAUGUGUACGCAGACGGUAGCAGACAAGGUAGUUCCGGUUAACGAGCGGAGCUUUGGAAGGUGUUAAAUCUGCAAUUGACUGGCAGCUGGUCCAAGGUAUUAUCCUGUCUUCUGGCUCAAUGUGGAUUGCGAUGGACGUGCACCCUGAACCCUGAAUAAGCAGCUCUUGCCGAGUAAAGGAAUGAAGUUUGAUGCUCAGCCCGCGAAGAUUCCUCUAGACUGAAGCAGGAAAAGACGGGGAAAAGGAAUGUCUUCUGGCAGGUAUGAUUGUACGCCAACACAAUGUUAUCAUCCGGACACAGUUUUGUUGAACAUUUGGAGAAAAUCAUUUUGCUCGAUCUUUGACUGUCUGCUGGGCUGUGAGGCAGCUGUUGGGAGACUCACCACCUGGUGAGCAGCUUUGAAGUACACUUUGAGGAUUAAAUUAUUCAUUCAGGGUGGCAACAUGUAUCCAGCUUGCCUCAGACUGUGGAGACGAUUUUGCCUCCUGCAGCUCAGCUUUACCGGACACUCUUUUAGCACACCCGGAUUCACCCCACUUCAUGAAAAUCCAGACUUUUCGUAAAAAAUCCAAAGUCUUUGUAGACAAGACGUAGUAAUAAAAGAGAGCAUAGUCUCCCGCAGUCAAAAUUGAGAUUGUGAUGAUUAUAAGCAUGAUAAAAUAAUAUUGUACAUGAAAUGUUUUAUGAUCUGUGGCCUUUUCAGUGUGUCUGCAGGAUGUCCCAGUUUUGAAAAUGAAUGGGUCCAACAGGAGGCUUUGACUUUAAAAGGAAUCCUGCUUCAAUGAAAAUUAAGUAGGAUAUCCAGCUCUAAAAAAUAUAUUUCAACUGUUAUUUUGACUUUUAAUGGAGCUCCAGCACUUUGCAGAUAAAUCUUUGUGUUCACAAAGGUUUGAGGCUACAAAUAGAAAAAGCAAUUUAGAUUUUAUUAAUAAUGUGGGUGACUGACAGGAAAUUAAAAUGGGCUUGGACUGUGACAAGGAGACCCUGUUAAAAAAAAAAGAAAAAAAAAAAGAAAACAAUUGUGCCAUUACUGAAUAAGUUACUUUGUUUUGAUGGUCUGCACAUCACUAAGUGUUCAUUUCUUUGUAAGAAAUGCUGUAGGAAUGAAUGAAUGAAUAAAUGUAGAGAAAUGCUAUAUGCCUGGUUUCCUUAUAACUUGUUGCUAUGUUACCGCACUGAAACAGUCGUUAUUGGCUUUCUGACCAUGUUGCUUUGAGCAUGAUUGGUUAAUAUGACUGUCAUGCAGGAA